UUUUAGAUUGACUUAAAUAUGUAACUAGUCUCUACAGUUUCAUUGUCUUUUGAUAUUAGUUCCUACACUUUUUUUGGUUGGGUCUAAGUCUUGUAGUUUCUAAACAGUUUGUUUUUAGUCCUUGGUGUUACUCAAACGUUACAAAAAUGGUUGAAAUUAACGGAGUGUCACGUGGACCAACCAAUAUAAGCCACGUGGCAUGGUCGAAGUCUCAUUUUUAUUUUUACUUUUUUGCCAAUUUGAUUUCAUAUUAAUGUUUUAUUAAUAAAAAUAAAUAACCAUGAAAAAGAAACAUUUUUUUGACAAAAAAUGAAAAAGAAAGAUAAAUUGCAUAAAAGAGGGGCUUCCAUCUUCUUCGUGAAACCAUAACUUACCAAACACAAUCAACUCAAGAAGCACCAAAUUUUGCCACUGCAUAUAUCAAUUAUAAAUCUCACUCUUUAGUGUGCAAUAACAAGUUGUAUGAGCACAAAACAUGGAUAACUCUUUUUCUUCUUUUUUUGAAGAAACUAAAUUAGCCCACCCAAAUUGGCAUCAGAGAGAAUCGAACCUCAGAAGUCAGACCUCAAGAGGAGCGCACUCUCAGGUCCCAAGUGGGUUCAUGGAUAACGCUUGUUGACUGAAUGAGGAGAAUAAAACCAAAAGGGCAAUUAAGGUAACAACAAUGAAGAACAAUGGAGUCACAACAACGUAACUCUUUCUUUUAUAUUGAAGCAUUUGAAGCUAACAAUGAAGGUGGGGCUGUUGUGGGGAUUGAUGGAGAUUGGAGAAGAUGAAAUUGGGUGGUGUUGUGGAAUAAGAAGAUAAAUAAGAACACAAAUUGAUGUUUUGCUAAGGAAUAGAUGUGGUUUCACGAAGAAGAAGAUCAUGCCCUCUCUUUAUGCAAUUUCUGUUUCCUUUUCAUAUUAACGACUCAAAAUAAGAUAUAUUAAUAAAAAACAAUCUCUUCAGUACAAGAUCUACUGAAAUGGACUACAAAGAGUCAAAGAAAGAUAAUCAUAAAUAAAUAACACAAGACCCAAACAAAAUAAGAGAUUAGACCACCAACUAUAAUAGUUGAGAACUAAAAUAACUCUCAUCGUCUUCAAUCACCUAUAAAAAAAAUUUAUAUAUUUAAUAUAUUAAAUACUUUAGAUUUUCAAUAAAUCUAAAAAAAAAUAAAAUUUAACUUAUAUUAUUGGAGGGAAUAUUUCAGAAUUCUUACAAGAUCGUCGUCACCACUUACCUGACACCAUUGUCUAACCAUAAUUCGAUUGUACCUUUUUGUGAAGCUGAAAUUUUAUGGUCUAAACUGAUUUGUCCACCUUCUAAGAAAAUGACAACACAACCGCACUUAUUUCUGACAUGACCUACAACAGUGAUCCGUGCUAGUGUAUCAUGCAUUGCUGGGUAUGAGCUCAAAUAUUUCUUGUUUAAGGGACAUACGAAGUUUCAUAUAUAGGCCACAAAUCUGGCCAUUAAACUACAUGUUUUCUAUUUAUACAUCUCUUAUAUUUAGAGUCGGAU
rnacentral:lncRNA from 1 species